rnacentral:ncRNA from 1 species
GUAAGAUUACACAUGCAAAUCUCCAUACGCCGGUGUAAAAUCCCUUAAACAUUUAAUCAAAUCUUAAGGAGAGGGUAUCAAGCACAUUCAAUAGCUCAAGACACCUUGCCUAGCCACGCCCCCACGGGACUCAGCAGUGAUAAAUAUUAAGCAAUAAACGAAAGUUUGACUAAGCUAUGCCUCUUAGGGUUGGUAAAUUUCGUGCCAGCCACCGCGGUCAUACGAUUAACCCAAAUUAAUUAAUACCGGCGUAAAACGUGAUAAUUAAUAUAAAAUAAUAGAAUUAAAAUCCAACUUAUAUGUGAAAAUCCAUUGUUAGGACCUAAACCCUAUGACGAAAGUAAUUCUAAGUAUUAUUUGCACGAUAGCUAAGAUCCAAACUGGGAUUAGAUACCCCACUAUGCUUAGCCCUAAACCUGAAUAAUUUAAUAACAAAAUUAUUUGCCAGAGAACUACUAGCCACCGCUUAAAACUCAAAGGACUUGGCGGUACUUUAUAUCCAUCUAGAGGAGCCUGUUCUAUAAUCGAUAAACCCCGCUAUACCUCACCAUCUCUUGCUAAUUCAGCCUAUAUACCGCCAUCUUCAGCAAACCCUAAAAAGGAAUUAAAGUAAGCACAAGGACAAACAUAAAAACGUUAGGUCAAGGUGUAGCCAAUGAGAUGGGAAGAAAUGGGCUACAUUUUCUUUAUAAAGAACAUUACGAAACCCUUUAUGAAACUAAAGGAUAAAGGAGGAUUUAGUAGUAAAUUAAGAAUAGAGUGCUUAAUUGAAUAGAGCAAUGAAGU